rnacentral:rRNA from 1 species
AUUGAACGCUGGCGGCAUGCCUUACACAUGCAAGUCGAACGCGAAAGGGGGCAACCCUGAGUAGAGUGGCGAACGGGUGAGUAAUGCAUCGGAACGUGUCCUGUAGCGGGGGACAACCCCGAGAAAUCGGGGCUAAUACCGCAUACGUCCUACGGGAGAAAGUGGGGACCGCAAGGCCUCACACUAUAGGGGCGGCCGAUGCCGGAUUAGCUAGUUGGUGGGGUAAGAGCCCACCAAGGCGACGAUCCGUAGCUGGUCUGAGAGGAUGAUCAGCCACACUGGGACUGAGACACGGCCCAGACUCCUACGGGAGGCAGCAGUGGGGAAUUUUGGACAAUGGGCGCAAGCCUGAUCCAGCCAUGCCGCGUGAGUGAAGAAGGCCUUCGGGUUGUAAAGCUCUUUCGGCCGGGACGAAAUCGCUCUCGCUAAUAUCGGGAGUGGAUGACGGUACCGGAAUAAGAAGCACCGGCUAACUACGUGCCAGCAGCCGCGGUAACAC